rnacentral:rRNA from 1 species
UACGUAGGGUGCAAGCGUUGUCCGGAAUUAUUGGGCGUAAAGAGCGUGUAGGCGGCCAGGUAGGUCUGCUGUGAAAACUCGAGGCUCAACCUCGAGACGUCGGCGGAAACCAUCUGGCUAGAGUCCGGAAGAGGAGAGUGGAAUUCCUGGUGUAGCGGUGAAAUGCGCAGAUAUCAGGAAGAACACCCGUGGCGAAGGCGGCUCUCUGGAACGCAACUGACGCUGAGACGCGAAAGCGUGGGGAGCAAACAGG